rnacentral:tRNA from 1 species
GCCAGUGUAGCACAAUAGUAGUGCAUCUCACCUGUAAUGAGAAGGUUGGGGGUGCAAGUCCCUCCGCUGGCU